UACGUAGGGUGCAAGCGUUGUCCGGAAUUAUUGGGCGUAAAGGGCUCGUAGGCGGUCUGUCACGUCGGGAGUGAAAACUCAGGGCUUAACCCUGAGCCUGCUUCCGAUACGGGCAGACUAGAGGUAUGCAGGGGAGAAUGGAAUUCCUGGUGUAGCGGUGAAAUGCGCAGAUAUCAGGAGGAACACCAGUGGCGAAGGCGGUUCUCUGGGCAUUACCUGACGCUGAGGAGCGAAAGUGUGGGGAGCGAACAGG
rnacentral:rRNA from 1 species